rnacentral:tRNA from 1 species
GGCGACGUAGCUCAGCGGUAGAGCAGGGGACUCAUAAGCCCUUGGUCGCAGGUUCGAAUCCCGCCGUCGCCA